rnacentral:rRNA from 1 species
CUAGAUGCUGCAGCAGUGAGGAAUAUUGCACAAUGGGGGGAACCCUGAUGCAGCAACGCCGCGUGGAGGAUGACGCAUUUCGGUGUGUAAACUCCUUUUAUAUGUCAAGAAAAUGACGGUAGCAUAUGAAUAAGCACCGGCUAACUCCGUGCCAGCAGCCGCGGUAAUACGGAGGGUGCAAGCGUUACUCGGAAUCACUGGGCGUAAAGGACGCGUAGGCGGGUUGGAAAGUCAGGUGUGAAAUCCUACAGCUUAACUGUAGAACUGCACUUGAAACUUCUAAUCUAGAGUAUGGGAGGGGGAGAUGGAAUUAGUGGUGUAGGGGUAAAAUCCGUAGAUAUCACUAGGAAUACCUAAAGCGAAGGCGAUCUCCUGGAACAUUACUGACGCUAAGGCGUGAAAGCGUGGGGAGCAAACAGGAUUAGAUACCCUAGUAGUC